UGAAAUCCAGGUGUUUAUAUUUCUUUUCUAGGGAAGAGGGAAUUGGGAAGUGUAGGCAACUGGGAGAGAAUAGAUGAGAAUAGAAGUGCAUCCUCAAGAGAACAGGGCUUCCCUGACAAUGGCACUGAUGUGACUCCAUCCAGCAUCCAUUGUUGUGAGAACUCUAUUUGGCAUAUCAUCGUUGUGAACAUGAACAAAAUGGAGACUUUCAUAGGAUGCAAUGGUUAACAUUCAAUGUUAGUCAAAAUUUGUUGUAGUCCUAACCUGGGAACUCUACUUGGUUGGAAAAAUAUUAUAGGUAAUGGCAAGCAUUUGGUAGAGUUUUAAAAUAAAGAAUACAAAGAAAUUUUCUUAGCAAGAGCAUCAACUAUAUGUGGUGCACAAUGCCAUUUUUGUAUGGAACGUAACAAAGAUUAUUUAAAUGUAUAUGAAUACUAUAUAUAUUUGUAGCCAAUAUUUUAUCAAAUAAAUGUAUUUUCACUUCUAUGUAUAUUAUAUACAUAUAUGCACAUUUUUCCAUAAAGUAAAUUUUAAUUUUUUAUACUGAAAUACUAAUUAGUUUUAAUUUUGACUUCUAUUUUCCCUUAAUAACUUCAUAAUUUCAUUACUAAAUGUUCACAUUUUACCACCAAUUUAAGAAAAUAUAUUUGUGUAUAUAUAGGUAGAGGUAUAAAUACUGUAUUAAGAAGCU
rnacentral:lncRNA from 1 species